rnacentral:rRNA from 1 species
UACGUAGGGGGCAAGCGUUGUCCGGAAUCAUUGGGCGUAAAGCGCGUGUAGGCGGUUCGAUAAGUCUGCUGUGAAAGUCCAGGGCUCAACCCUGGGAUGCCGGUGGAUACUGUCGGGCUAGAGUACGGAAGAGGCGAGUGGAAUUCCCGGUGUAGCGGUGAAAUGCGCAGAUAUCAGGAGGAACACCAAUUGCGAAGGCAGCUCGCUGGGACGUUACUGACGCUGAGACGCGAAAGCGUGGGGAGCAAACAGG